rnacentral:rRNA from 1 species
GUAGGAAGUUUUCGGAUGGGAAUCAAAUUGACUAGUGGCGGACGGGUGAGUAACGCGUGGGAAACCUGCCCCGUGUACCGGGGGAUAACACUUAGAAAUAGGUGCUAAUACCGCAUAAGCGCACAGCUUCGCAUGGAGCAGUGUGAAAAACUCCGGUGGUACAGGAUGGUCCCGCGUCUGAUUAGCCAGUUGGCGGGGUAACGGCCCACCAAAGCGACGAUCAGUAGCCGGCCUGAGAGGGUGGACGGCCACAUUGGGACUGAGACACGGCCCAAACUCCUACGGGAGGCAGCAGUGGGGAAUAUUGCACAAUGGGGGAAACCCUGAUGCAGCGACGCCGCGUGAGUGAAGAAGUAUUUCGGUAUGUAAAGCUCUAUCAGCAGGGAAGAAGAUGACGGUACCUGAGUAAGAAGCCCCGGCUAACUACGUGCC